GAGCAAGUAGGAUGACCUUACGCCAAAGACCUCAGCAGAAAAAGUGUUCUUCUGACAUCUGCGUCCAUAACGCUGCAGGUUUUGAAGCAUACAAAGUCAACAAGAAUCCAAAGCCCAUGGAAACAUGGGGGUGGAUGGAGUGAUGCUGCUCAGCUGAAGAAGCCAGGCAAAAACUCAGAAAACAGCCAAUUGGAAGUGUGGUGCAUGUGGAAGGAUGGACAAAACUGUAUCUCUAAGUUUUGAAUGCCUUUAUCGAGCAAAUUGCAGUGGUGUCCCAGGCACUCUGUCAGCAUAUAACUCCUGCGCUCAGAUAUCUGUGCUGGUUGCUUGUUUGCUACCAAGCCAAGUUCAAGGUGCCACUAGUAGUUUCUCUGAACAGCCUGGGAUCAGUUUCGUCUUCAAGAUCAAAUAUUCCAUAUAUGCCCACUUGGUGUCUGGGACUGGGACUUUUACAGGUGAUGCAGAACACUCACUCCACAUUUGGAGAGACCAUCUUGGCUGUGAUUCCUGGAACACCUUCUCUCUGCUUGCAGGCCUUUUUUCUACCUGGCCCGGGAGGGUGGGGGCCCUCAUUGACUCCAGCUACAAGAGCUGAGGCUAUGGAAGAGGCCAGAGGCAAUAUCGGCUGUCUCAGUGCAGACCCAGGUGAUCGAGCCUGAGCUUCUGCAGCCAUCAAAAACAACCACUGGCAGGAUUGACAGCAGAUACCUUCUGUGUUUAUGAUAAUAUUUUUGUUCUCUACUUAAUUACGCUGUUUUAAAUGUGCAUUUCAUAUUUGACACCCUUAAGUAAUGCUUUCUUUUCAAAUGUUUAAGAUAAUUUUUGUGUUAAUUUUGCUGUGUUAAAUGUGCAUUCUGUAGCUGA